GUCGCCAGUGUCGCCCUUGUUGUUCUUCCAUCGUGAAAAGAGACGAAACAAAUUGUUGCUAAAUUUGAUGCAUACUGUCAGUCAAGUUGACUUAGUUAAUAGCGCUCAGUCAAUUUCCAUCCAUUUAGAUCCUCAUGCUGUCAAAAGCCUAAAA